rnacentral:tRNA from 1 species
GUGGUCCAAGGUUUUGGCCGCGAAGCCGGUGAGGCUUUGGCCACCAGCAAACGUAUCUCCAAGAUUGCGUUCACCGGUUCCACCCCGGUGGGAUCGCAC